GAUGAACGCUGGCGGCGUGCCUAAUACAUGCAAGUCGAGCGAACGGACGAGAAGCUUGCUUCUCUGAUGUUAUCGGCGGACGGGUGAGUAACACGUGGAUAACCUACCUAUAAGACUGGGAUAACUUCGGGAAACCGGAGCUAAUACCGGAUGAUAUUUUGAACCGCAUGGUUCAAAAGUGAAAGACGGUCUUGCUGUCACUUAUAGAUGGAUCCGCGCUGCAUUAGCUAGUUGGUAAGGUAACGGCUUACCAAGGCAACGAGGCAUAGCCGACCUGAGAGGGAGAACGGCCAGCUGGGAUGUGAGGAACGGUCCAGACUCCUACGGGAGGAAGCAGUAGGGACUCUUCCGCAAUGGGCGAAAGCCUGACGGAGCAACGCCGCGUGAGUGAUGAAGGUCUACGGAUCGUAAAACUCUGUUAUUAGGGAAGAACAUAUGUGUAAGUAACUGUGCACAUCUUGACGGUACCUAAUCAAAAAGCCACGGCUAACUACGUG
rnacentral:rRNA from 1 species